UGAAACUCAAAGGAAUUGACGGGAACUCUUACAAGCGGUGGAGCAUGUGGUGUAAACUGAUGAUCCUCGAUAAACCUUACCAACUUUCUACCUUGAACUGA
rnacentral:rRNA from 1 species